rnacentral:rRNA from 2 species
UACAGAGGUUGCAAGCGUUGUUCGGAUUUACUGGGCGUAAAGCGUGCGUAGGCGGUAUUGAGAGUCGCGGGUGAAAUCCCAGGGCUUAACCCUGGAACUGCCUGCGAGACCUCAGUACUAGAGUAUGAGAGGGGUUGGUGGAAUUCCCAGUGUAGCGGUGAAAUGCGUAGAGAUUGGGAGGAACACCGGUGGCGAAGGCGGCCAACUGGCUCAUAACUGACGCUCAGGCACGAAAGCGUGGGGAGCAAACAGG